UAAGCCUGUGAAGGUGGCCUGUGAGGGUUGCUGGAGGUAUCAGAAGUGCGAAUGCUGACAUAAGUAACGAUAAAGCGGGUGAAAAGCCCGCUCGCCGGAAGACCAAGGGUUCCUGUCCAACGUUAAUCGGGGCAGGGUGAGUCGACCCCUAAGGCGAGGCCGAAAGGCGUAGUCGAUGGGAAACGGGUUAAUAUUCCCGUACUUGGUGUUACUGCGAAGGGGGGACGGAGAAGGCUAUGUUGGCCGGGCGACGGUUGUCCCGGUUUAAGCGUGUAGGCUGGUUUUCCAGGCAAAUCCGGAAAAUCAAGGCUGAGGCGUGACGACGAGGCACCACGGUGCUGAAGCAACAAAUGCCCUGCUUCCAGGAAAAGCCUCUAAGCAUCAGGUAACACGAAAUCGUACCCCAAACCGACACAGGUGGUCAGGUAGAGAAUACCAAGGCGCUUGAGAGAACUCGGGUGAAGGAACUAGGCAAAAUGGUGCCGUAACUUCGGGAGAAGGCACGCUGACACGUAGGUGAAGUGAUUUACUCAUGGAGCUGAAGUCAGUCGAAGAUACCAGCUGGCUGCAACUGUUUAUUAAAAACACAGCACUGUGCAAACACGAAAGUGGACGUAUACGGUGUGACGCCUGCCCGGUGCCGGAAGGUUAAUUGAUGGGGUUAUCCUCGCGGAGAAGCUCCUGAUCGAAGCCCCGGUAAACGGCGGCCGUAACUAUAACGGUCCUAAGGUAGCGAAAUUCCUUGUCGGGUAAGUUCCGACCUGCACGAAUGGCGUAAUGAUGGCCAGGCUGUCUCCACCCGAGACUCAGUGAAAUUGAACUCGCUGUGAAGAUGCAGUGUACCCGCGGCAAGACGGAAAGACCCCGUGAACCUUUACUAUAGCUUGACACUGAACAUUGAGCCUUGAUGUGUAGGAUAGGUGGGAGGCUUUGAAGCGUGGACGCCAGUCUGCGUGGAGCCAACCUUGAAAUACCACCCUUUAAUGUUUGAUGUUCUAACGUGGACCCGUUACCCGGGUUGCGGACAGUGUCUGGUGGGUAGUUUGACUGGGGCGGUCUCCUCCCAAAGAGUAACGGAGGAGCACGAAGGUUGGCUAAUCCUGGUCGGACAUCAGGAGGUUAGUGCAAUGGCAUAAGCCAGCUUGACUGCGAGCGUGACGGCGCGAGCAGGUGCGAAAGCAGGUCAUAGUGAUCCGGUGGUUCUGAAUGGAAGGGCCAUCGCUCAACGGAUAAAAGGUACUCCGGGGAUAACAGGCUGAUACCGCCCAAGAGUUCAUAUCGACGGCGGUGUUUGGCACCUCGAUGUCGGCUCAUCACAUCCUGGGGCUGAAGUAGGUCCCAAGGGUAUGGCUGUUCGCCAUUUAAAGUGGUACGCGAGCUGGGUUUAGAACGUCGUGAGACAGUUCGGUCCCUAUCUGCCGUGGGCGCUGGAGAACUGAGGGGGGCUGCUCCUAGUACGAGAGGACCGGAGUGGACGCAUCACUGGUGUUCGGGUUGUCAUGCCAAUGGCACUGCCCGGUAGCUAAAUGCGGAAGAGAUAAGUGCUGAAAGCAUCUAAGCACGAAACUUGCCCCGAGAUGAGUUCUCCCUGAGACCUUGAGUCUCCUGAAGGAACGUUGAAGACGACGACGUUGAUAGGCCGGGUGUGUAAGCGCAGCGAUGCGUUGAGCUAACCGGUACUAAUGAACCGUGAGGCUUAACCUUACAACGCCGAAGCUGUU
rnacentral:rRNA from 1 species